rnacentral:lncRNA from 1 species
GGGACGAGUAUCGCUCCGUAACAUAGGGUACACCAACGUUUCGGUGCAAUGUAUUUCCUAGACUAGCCACAGUUCAACCAGUUAAGAGCUAUGCUAAUAUUAGAAGAGAUAAAAAGAAAGCUACGAUCGAACCUUUACAUAGACACGCAAGAAGUAAUAAUAUUUUGAAUCGUAAACAGCUGUAUUGCACGAAUUGCACGAAUCCAUAGCUACACUCAUCCCAAACGGGUGCACGUUAGGGCAUCUAUGCGGCACCCGGGUCGUUCUACCCUGGGUGCACUUCGAACGAACUGAAGCACACAUGCAAUGCGCUCUUUAAGUCCCCUGCGCAUGUGCGAAGAACAUCAGCAACGUUGCAAACCUGAGAGAUGGAGGGACGGAAGCGAUCACUUACCAUUGCUUGGAUUUGCGGAUUCC